rnacentral:lncRNA from 1 species
UCAGAAGCUGGAAAAAUCCUGGAAAGGUCGGUCUUUUACAAACUUUGGCUGGAGGUAUUUUAUACCCAACACCAGUCCCCCUACUUUCGAGUUUGAGUUCUGAAUAAAGAAAGUAUAGAAAAAUUCUCACAGCCGAAGUUGUCCCCCUCGAUUUUCGCACUCAGUGGUUGCCAGAUAUUUUGGCGUUUGGCGCGCUGGUGCCAGAGUUGUUGCUCCUA